CAAUUCAAGGAUAUGUGGAUCUCAAAAAUAAUAAACCAGUGUGUAAGGAAUGUAAAUCUUAACUUAGAGCUAUGACUCUGCCAGCAAUGUAGAAAGUGGCAGUUAGUACUCUCAAGCGAACCCUAACUUCUCCAACAUCUCUAUUCCAGAGCAGGGUAUCAGCUACAUGUUUGCAUACAUAAAUAAACAUUGUAUUGUUUUCCCCAGAAUUGUGAGUGCAUGAGAAAGGAAUUCAAGUCUACCAGAAAGCUUAUUUGCCACUUCAUAAAUGAUAGUGUCUCCUGAUUGUGCUAGUCCUGUCAAGGUUUCAGAGGUCUUAGUGGCCCAGUAGUUAUCAGGGACUGUAUUUACUCUCCUUCAACAAGCUAGCAGAGGAGGGUGGAACUGGGGCUCAAAGUGUUCUAAGCACAGGAGCAUGUCAGUAUCUAUAUGAUGGGAGGCACAAUUAAGACAGCUGAUG
rnacentral:lncRNA from 1 species